rnacentral:rRNA from 1 species
AACGAACGCUGGCGGCAUGCCUAAUGCAUGCCAGUCGAACGAGAUCUUCGGAUCUAGUGGCGCACGGGUGCGUAACGCGUGGGAAUCUGCCCUUGGGUUCGGAAUAACUUCUGGAAACGGAAGCUAAUACCGGAUGAUGACGUAAGUCCAAAGAUUUAUCGCCCAAGGAUGAGCCCGCGUAGGAUUAGGUAGUUGGUGAGGUAAAGGCUGACCAAGCCGACGAUCCUUAGCUGGUCUGAGAGGAUGAUCAGCCACACUGGGACUGAGACACGGCCCAGACGACUACGGGAGGAAGCAGGGGGGAGUAUGGGAGAAUGGGCGAGAGCCGGAUCAAGCAAUGCAGCGGGAGUGAGGAAGGCAGUAGGGGUGUAAAGCUCUUUUACACGGGAUGAGAAGGACAGGACCGGGAGAAUAAGAUCCGGCAAACUCCGUG